GCCUUCGUAACUCAGAGACUAGAGUGCCUCGCUCUUAACGAGGAAGUCGAGAUUUUGAAAUUCUCCGAGGGCA
rnacentral:tRNA from 1 species